AUAAGGUAACUGUAUUUUCACUUGAGCGUUGAAGCCGCUACAGUGAGGAGCGCUCAAGAGGAAUUGCGCUUGCGCAUACUUACGUCAUUAGUCGCUCAUUUUCCGUGUGAUCGACUGCACAAUAUUGGCAAAUAAUUUGCUUUAUUUUUUAUUAUUUACAUUAUGUGCUAGGAUUUAGUGACAGUGUCUGAAGUCUAUUUAUUAGUUAACACUGAGUACAACACAAAAUGGGCCUGUGUCUUUCAUUUGAUUGUGGGGAUUGUGAUGGUUGCGUCAAUCCAUGUUGCUUGGCCCUGAGUGCUUGUUGCUUAAUACCGUGCCUAUGCCCCAACGCCUGCGGUGAUCAGAACAGGAAUCAACCACCAACUGUCAUCGUUCAACAGCCUCCUGUUGUAAUAGACCAGCAACAACCAGGUUACCCCUAUCCCCCUCCGGGAGGAUACCCUCCAGGAAGUUACCCGCAAGGGGGAUACCCUCCGCCUCCUCCAGGCGGUUACCCUCAAUAUCCCGGAUACCCACCUCAAGGCGGUUAUCCCCAUCCAAUGCAAAGAUAGUCUGAAACUAGGAUAAGAUCUUAUAUUAUUUAAAUAAGAAUGGGUUGCAACAUAUCGUGUCGUCCGUGCUGCUGUUGCUGCAUCCCCUGUCUGUGCUGCGACUGCUGCUCGGACCCGCCGCCACGUACUACGGUUGUUCACACCACCCACGUCGUUCAAUCGCCUCCGGUCACCGUGAUACGUCAUGAACCUCCUCCCGCAUACAGAUAACAUUAAAAACAAAUAAAUAUGGGAUAUAACGACCCAAAAUAAAUUUAAAUUUAUUGGCCAACAAAAAAUACAUUGUUAUUCUUAAUACACAUAAAUUAAUACAUUGAGGCGUUGAAUGUUAUAGUUUCUUUUAAACUUAGAAUGUACUAUUUUGUUAUACAGGGGUAUACCCCGGCCGCUUAGUGUUUGCGUUCCUGACGUCUUUAAAUUCGUCAUGACUAUUGACUAGUAAUGUACAAUAAAUAAUAUUAAUUAUAUUGAGUAACGUUGUUUAUAACAUUCAUUGUAUUUAUUUAUGUAAAUCAAUGUAUAUAUAUGUAUAAUUUUUAAUAAAUUAUUAUGGUAUUAAGCUUACUAAAAUGUAGUCUGACAAGUCAAGUCAUGUUUUAAAGACUAUUAUUUUUAUUAUAUUUUUUAAUUACGUAUAUAUUUAUAAACUUAAAGUUUAGUAACGUAACGUAAUACGUUUAUUAUCAAAUACAUAAAAUUUUGCAGUAAAUUUUUGAGAGUUCAAUUUUACAUGGCCAAUCACGAUCUGUCAGAAACGUAAUCUCUAAAUGGCCGGGCUAUAGUAUUACUUGGAAAGUCGAUACUUAAACAAUAAUUGGAUCCAAGAGGGUUUAAAAAUAUAACUUUAACCUGCCACAGUAGGUAUAUAUCACAAGUCAUAUUUUUAAAUAUUUUAGAUAAAAUUUAAAGAACUAUGUAUAAUGAAAAUUGUUCAUGACGAGUUAAAAAUGUCACAUGAUGUAGGUAUAUAUAAUGUUGACCCUUUCAUAGCUUUUUAAGAAUGUUCUUUCAUAAUAAAUGUUACCUGUUUA